rnacentral:misc_RNA from 1 species
ACCGAUGAAGGCGAUUAUCAGACCAAAUUGCGUAAUCUGAGGCGAUUUCUUGAGCAGGGAAAUAAAGCCAAAGUAACGCUGUGGUUUCGGGGUCGCGAAAUGGCGCAUCAGGAUCUUGGCUCACACCUCUUGAAGCGGAUAGAAGCCGAUCUGGAAGAAAUAGGUAAGGUCGAGCAAUUUCCCAAGCUGGAAGGGCGACGUCUCUCCAUGGUGCUGGCGCCGAAAAAAUAAUCCGGGAGAUUUCCAUCCAACUAACCGAAUAGCUUUCAGGCCAUUGCGGUCUUUAUAUUGAGAUAGAGAAGUCUCCGAGAGUUUGAUCGAUAGGUAUA